rnacentral:ncRNA from 1 species
CUCAUAAAGAGUGGCUGAGGGACUGGCCCUGUGAAGCCCGGCAACCUGCUAUUAUGCAAGGUGCCAAAUCCUGCGGUAAAACCGAGAGAUGAA